UACGAAGGGUGCUAGCGUUGUUCGGAAUUACUGGGCGUAAAGCGCGCGUAGGCGGCUUAACAAGUCAGGGGUGAAAUCCCACAGCUCAACUGUGGAAUUGCCUUUGAAACUGUUAAGCUAGAGUGUCGGAGGGGAUAGCGGAAUUGCUAAUGUAGAGGUGAAAUUCGUAGAUAUUAGCAGGAACACCGGUGGCGAAGGCGGCUAUCUGGACGACAACUGACGCUGAGGCGCGAAAGCGCGGGGAUCAAACAGG
rnacentral:rRNA from 1 species